rnacentral:tRNA from 1 species
AAUAAAGUGCCUGAGUAAAGGAUUAUCGUGAUAGGAUAAAUAAUGUAAUAGAAAUUACCUUUAUUA